UUAUGUUCUCAUUCGGCCCUAAUCAUAUGUCCCACUUUGCGUAGGGUUUAAUUUUUCUUUUUGUGGCUAUUCCAUUUCCUCGCUGCUUUGAUGAGAUUGUCAUGUUUGGUCAGGUCAUCUGGCACAAGGCUCCCACCCUCCCUGAGCAGGGUGGGUAUGGACAUACAAGGGCAUAGGAGUUACCGGGAGCCAGCAUGAGGCAUGUCCUUGACCAGCUUUCCCUCAACACAGGGGAAGAGGCUGCUGGGGGUGACAGGCUCAUCCAUGAGCAGGACCUGGAGUGGCUGCAGCAGGCGGACGUGGUCGUGGCAGAAGUGACACAGCCAUCCUUGGGUGUAGGCUAUGAGCUGGGCCGGGCCGUGGCCUUUAACAAGCGGAUCCUGUGCCUGUUCCGC
rnacentral:sRNA from 1 species